UGAUGGCAUUUCCUUUAUCGUUUCCUGAUGACGUUUACAGUAAUUCGUGAAGAAUUGCCACGUUAUGAAUUAAUCUAAACAAGAUGACAAGAAAACAAAGGAAAAGCAGUUUAUGAGCUGUUGGUUACUUCAUUAGUCAUAAGUCUAAUUUGUAAUUUGAAGUUUUAGAUGAGAAUUAAAAAAAAACAAAAAUAAUAUUAAAAGCCUCAAGAAUCUACUUGAACUUAACUGUUUAAACUUGCCAAAUAAUUAUCCCUUUCAUCAAAAUAUAGAAAAUGAUUCAUUCCUCUUGCAAUAUUCAAAACAUAUUUAUCGGUUCUACUUAAGAAAAUUCUUUAAUCUGAAUAAAUCUA
rnacentral:lncRNA from 1 species